rnacentral:tRNA from 1 species
AACAGUUUAGCUAAUUGGUAGAGUACUCAGCCAGUAUCUGAGAGGUGCGAGUUCGAGUCUCGUGGCUCUCU